AAGAAGAAGAAGAAGAAGAAGAAGAAGAGGAGGAGGAGGAGGAGAAGGAUCUGAUUAUCAUAACUCAAAACCCACAUUGAGUAAGCUAUGAACAAAUAUAUAAAUAAACAAAGAAAUGUGCUGGAGUCAGAAGAAGAAGAAGAAGAAGAAGAAGAAGAAGAAGAAGAAGAAGAAGAAGAAGGGAAAGAAGAAGAAGGAGGAGGAGGAGGAAGAGGAGGAGGAGGAGGAGGAGGAAGAGAAGGAGGAGGAUGAGGAGGAGGAGGGAGAGAAGAAGGAGACGAAGGAGAAGAAGAAGAAGGCGGCCAUAGGAUAAAGUCAAGGGUAGGGCAAACUCUGUGAAUGAGCAUGUACCUUUUCUUCAUGGAUUUAUGAAGACUGCCUUUUCUAAGCCCCUGGCAAGCCUUCAAGAGCGUGCUGAAGGCCGUUGGGGAUGGAGGCGGAAUGAUGGGGGAAACGGAGGACCGCCGUGGCUGGGUUGCUUUCGUCCGUGGGUACCCUGGAGCUUGGUGGGCAGUGAAUGGGUGCCUCUGGCUUGUGUUCCAGCAGCUCCCGUGAGAGGUGAGCUGUGGCAAACAUGGGAAGGAGGGUAUGUCUGCGUCCCCCCUGGUAUCAUGUGGUCCAAUACCAUGCCCACCAAACACAAAAGCAAGCAGCCGUGGAAUCUUGACUGGGUUCGUGUGAUCUGUGGAGACGGUCAAACUGUGUGAUUAUAGUUCCCAAUUGGACUUUUGUUUUGGACCCAAGGAUAAUUUAGAUUUCCUGUUAUACGUGAUGAGGAGUCCAUGCAGAUUUGUAGGAGGGGUUGAUAUGACUUGAUUUAUAUUUAGAACACAAGUAGUGAGCCAGUUAGGAUUCGGCCAGGAGACUAAAGGCUCAUAGCAAUUUGAACCGGGAAAAUUUAAUACCGCAUACGAAUUAUUAGCUAGUUAAAGGGUAUUACCUCCUAAGACAUGUAAAGAGAGCUAUCAAGAGUACAGGAAUAAGAUGUAGGGAGCAGUCAUUUCUUACAGGGCCAAGGGAGCAUGCAUGCUAGGAACAGACUUGGAGGAGGCAUCCCUCCCCACUGCCAAGGCUGGGAUUCAUCUAGUGUGGACCAGGGAAAGGCAGAGAAGUUCACGGAGGUGAUGCAGGCUGGGCCAGCGAGCAGAAGCCACCUGCGGGAGUGGGGUCGGAACUUGUGGGAGGGUUUGCUUCGCAGACCUCCAGCGCACCACUGGCAAAGGAGUGGCCCGUAGGGAAGAAAGCUACGUGCAAUGCUUGGUAGGAAGAAAAACUCUGGAACCAGGAAGGCAAGACUCUUGUCUUGCAGUCUCCCUCUAGCGCCCUCUACUGAGAAGGCUGGCACCGUGCCUCCUCGCAAAAGAGAAACAUUUACUUGGGUUCAGCUCCAGUAUCUCCAAGAAGGGCAGGGAAGGGUGUAUUUGGAGCUUAGAGACAAUAAAUCUGCAGGUGUACAGGUAGUGAAGUAAAGGUGGACUUGAAGAGAGGAAAGUCUGGAGGCUAUAGUUAGGCGGGGUGGGGGAAAGGAAGAUGAAGUGGACAGACUGAUGCUCUGCCCUUGAUCCUGAGACAGAGCUUGAGACAGUGUGGAUGGCAGGGAGGAAGAUUAUACUGGUACAGAGGGGGCUGAAUAGGUAGGACUCUGUGGCUGAUGAGAUGCAGUUCGUGACAGGGAAGGCUCAUGGGUGUGCCCAGUCUUGGUGGCCUUCAUAGUUGGAAAGAAGAACAGGCUUGGGCUUAGGGGAAGAGAAUAAAUUCUGUUUUGGACAUGACUGUUUAUGGCACCUCUAGAAUAUCUUGACAAGAUUCAGAAUACCCUGGGAAAAGCACAGUGGAUUGAAAUGUGUACUGGGGGGAUGGGUUUCCACUAUUGCUACACAGCUCCCAUGCAAAGAGAAGGAAUCACAAAUUUCCACCUUAAGAAGAAUUCAAUAAAACUCUCUUUCAGAAAUCAACUUUCCUCAAACCCAGAAAAGUCUUACAAAAUUUCAGUUAGAGCUUGGAGCUGUUUUACUUUUUCUUCAAAACAUCCUGAAGCUUUAAUUUAGACGAAGGGUGAGAAUUAAAGUUGUGUGUGUGUGUGUGUGUUUCUGUGUGUGUGUUUAUUUCUGUGUUUUUGUGGUUGUUUUACACAGAAAGAAUUGGUUUUGUAUGUAUGUCAUUUCCAAAUGAGGGAGGUCUCAGUAUUAAGCAGUCUAGGAGAUGUUAAUAUUUUACUAUUGUAACAAUUUAGUGCGGGUCACAAGUUGGUUAGACACACUUGCAUAAACGCAAAGGAAGGAGGUGAAGUUAAUGGGUUGGGAAGACAAAUGUAUAUAAUUCAACCCCCACCCCCAGCAUUCAUUUCUGGUGCCACACAUCAUGGCUUUUAGUUGUAUUCUGCAUCUAGUUGUUUCCCACGCCUGAGUCCUGCUUCCUUUUCUGUGCUGAGUUUCCAGAGGGCAGGAAAGAUACCACAUGCUAUUUAUUCUUCACAGUUCAACAAUAGGUUCUCAAUAAAGACUUCAUUUUUAUUGUUCAGUGAACGUUUAUUAAGUAUCACUCUGAGCCAGCACAUGGCCUAGGUGAUCCUGGGAACGGACAUGAAAAAUACACAGUCCGUUUGCUUGAGGGACUCACGAUUUAAAUGGCAAGAAAUAGAAAGAGCCCUCUUGAUGAAAUCCGAAUAGGUGUUUAAAGUGAUAAUCCUUUUUCUAGGCAGACCCUUCACUCUGGAGUGGGUCUUUGGACUAGCAAGGCAGGAAGUUCCAUCUUUUCUUUGCAGCAAAGUUUGGGAGCUGACUGGGUAUCAGAUGCCAUGUGGGCUGAUCAGACCUCCAGUAGUGUUUGUGUGCAGAAAUCAAUUGAACGUUCACAUAUUAUAUGGGAUUAUACUGGAGGGAACAUCAGAACAGUGUAAAGCUCUAUAAGCUUGACAAGAACGUUGGGAAAAUUAACAAGUUAAUAUUUCAAAAACUGCUUUGAAGAUAGAAAGAGUGCCAACAUAAGUGCUAAUUAUUAUUAUUAGUCCCACGACCUUUUUCCUUCUCCUUUUACUGUUAGAUCUAUCGUCAAACUUCUUGACUUGAAGGGAAAUUAUUUUUCUUUAGAUGAGCAUUUUUUAAUCAAGUCAAAUAUUAAUAUGUGCAUUGGUGGAAAUACCAUUUCUUCCAUUAGUCUUUUUAUCCUCCCUAGAGGGCAAGGAUUCUGUCAUUUGUGUAUUUUGUGAGGUGUCUAGUAAUGCGAGGUACCUUUUGUCACUCUGUCAGUAAGUUGGCCGUGGCUGACAUACCUGUAGGAGAGGCAAAAUGUAUGUUUAGAGUCCUACAAACAGUGAGUAUGAAAUAGUGAGAAUGAAAAAAAAAAGAAAAACCAGCCAGAGCUUAGGUAACUA